rnacentral:rRNA from 1 species
UAGGGAAUCUUCCGCAAUGGGCGAAAGCUUGACGGAGCAACGCCGCGUGAGUGAUGAAGGUCUUCGGAUCGUAAAACUCUGUUAUUAGGGAAGAACAAAUGUGUAAGUAACUAUGCACGUCUUGACGGUACCUAAUCAGAAAGCCACGGCUAACUACGUGCCAGCAGCCGCGGUAAUACGUAGGUGGCAAGCGUUAUCCGGAAUUAUUGGGCGUAAAGCGCGCGUAGGCGGUUUUUUAAGUCUGAUGUGAAAGCCCACGGCUCAACCGUGGGGGGUCAUUGGAAACUGGAAAACUUGAGUGCAGAAGAGGAAAGUGGAAUUCCAUGUGUAGCGGUGAAAUGCGCAGAGAUAUGGAGGAACACCAGUGGCGAAGGCGACUUUCUGGUCUGUAACUGACGCUGAUGUGCGAAAGCGGGGGGAUCAAACAGG